GCGGAAGACGUGGGAGGGGCGGGGGUGGUAGGUGUGGGGUGAGCGGUGGCCGGAUUUAUGGGGCGUGAAGGUCUCUGAGGUGGGUUGUGUCGUGGGGAGUGAAAACACGAGGGUUAACGGGGUGCUUGAUUUCGAGACGGGCAGACUUGAGGGAUGUAGGGGAGAACGGAAUUCCUGGUGGAGCGGUGGAAUGCGCAGAUAUCAGGAGGAACACCGGUGGCGAAGGCGGUUCUCUGGACAUUUCCUGACGCUGAGGAGCGAAAGCGUGGGGAGCAAACAGGAUUAGAUACCCUUGUAGUC
rnacentral:rRNA from 1 species